rnacentral:rRNA from 1 species
UGGGGAAUAUUGCACAAUGGGCGCAAGCCUGAUGCAGCCAUGCCGCGUGUGUGAAGAAGGCCUUCGGGUUGUAAAGUACUUUCAGUCGGGAGGAAGGUGUCAAGGUUAAUAACCUUAUCAAUUGACGUUACCGACAGAAGAAGCACCGGCUAACUCCGUGCCAGCAGCCGCGGUAAUACGGAGGGUGCAAGCGUUAAUCGGAAUUACUGGGCGUAAAGCGCACGCAGGCGGUUGAUUGAGUCAGAUGUGAAAUCCCCGGGCUUAACCCGGGAAUUGCAUCUGAUACUGGUCAGCUAGAGUCUUGUAGAGGGGGGUAGAAUUCCAUGUGUAGCGGUGAAAUGCGUAGAGAUGUGGAGGAAUACCGGUGGCGAAGGCGGCCCCCUGGACAAAGACUGACGCUCAGGUGCGAAAGCGUGGGGAGCAAACAGG